rnacentral:rRNA from 1 species
UACGGAGGGGGCAAGCGUUGUUCGGAAUUACUGGGCGUAAAGGGCUCGUAGGCGGCCAACUAAGUCAUACGUGAAAUCCCUCGGCUUAACCGGGGAACUGCGUCUGAUACUGGAUGGCUUGAGUUCGGGAGAGGGAUGCGGAAUUCCAGGUGUAGCGGUGAAAUGCGUAGAUAUCUGGAGGAACACCGGUGGCGAAGGCGGCAUCCUGGACCGAUACUGACGCUGAGGAGCGAAAGCCAGGGGAGCAAACGGG